rnacentral:piRNA from 1 species
UAGCAUCGAGUCCUUCUGCUUGGGGCA